GGCUGUUCUUGGGUGACACACCCCAGAAUCAAGCUUCUUCCUCUCUGGUUCCAGGUGUGACCUGAGAACCGCA
rfam:Myotis davidii contig148712, whole genome shotgun sequence.